rnacentral:rRNA from 1 species
CGGCGUGCCUAACACAUGCAAGUCGAACGGAGUUCUUAAGGAAUGCGACUUCGGUCAAAUGACUUUUGAACUUAGUGGCGGACGGGUGAGUAACGCGUGAGCAACCUGCCUUUCAGAGGGGGAUAACAUUUGGAAACAGAUGCUAAUACCGCAUAAGAUUACAGUACCGCAUGAUACAGUGAUCAAAGGAGCAAUCCGCUGAAAGAUGGGCUCGCGUCCGAUUAGAUAGUUGGUGAGGUAACGGCUCACCAAGUCGACGAUCGGUAGCCGGACUGAGAGGUUGAACGGCCACAUUGGGACUGAGACACGGCCCAGACUCCUACGGGAGGCAGCAGUGGGGAAUAUUGCACAAUGGGCGAAAGCCUGAUGCAGCAACGCCGCGUGAGGGAAGACGGUUUUCGGAUUGUAAACCUCUGUUUUCGGUGACGAACAAAUGACGGUAACCGAGUAGGAAGCCACGGCUAACUACGUGCCAGCAGCCGCGGUAAUACGUAGGUGGCAAGCGUUAUCCGGAAUUACUGGGUGUAAAGGGAGCGCAGGCGGGAUAGCAAGUCAGCUGUGAAAACUAUGGGCUCAACCCAUAAACUGCAGUUGAAACUGUUAUUCUUGAGUGGAGUAGAAGCAAGCGGAAUUCCGAGUGUAGCGGUGAAAUGCGUAGAUAUUCGGAGGAACACCAGUGGCGAAGGCGGCUUGCUGGGCUCUAACUGACGCUGAGGCUCGAAAGUGUGGGGAGCAAACAGGAUUAGAUACCCUGGUAGUCCACACUGUAAACGAUGAUUGCUAGGUGUGGGGGGUCUGACCCCCUCCGUGCCGGAGUUAACGCAAUAAGCAAUCCACCUGGGGAGUACGGCCGCAAGGU